CCGCCGGCGGAGCCUGCGGGCUCGCCGCCACGGCCCCCUGGGGCUCCUGCGCUGUGGCUGCCGGAUGGCCUCCCUCCGGAGCUCUCCUCUGCCCUUUUCUGGGUGAGGGCUGCUAUUCUCCCUGCAGUGGUCCUCCGGGGGCUCCCAUGCCCUGGGGGGCCUCUGGAUGUCUGGGGUCCGGGCCUCCUCCGUGUCUGCUUCAUGUCCUGAGGGAUGGGGCUGUGGCUCCCCACACACACUUCUAGACAUUUACAUGGAGAAACCAUUUGAAGACCAGCGCGCUCACACACACAGGUGUGCACACAGGGGUACAAACAGGUUCUCACAGACACAAACAGGAGUACAAACAGGUUCUCACAGACACACACAGGUGUACAAACAGGUUCUCACAGACACAAACAGGAGUACAAACAGGUUCUCACAGACACAAACAGGAGUACAAACAGGUUCUCACAGACACACACAGGUGUACAAACAGGUUCUCACAGACACACACAGGUGUACAAACAGGUUCUCACAGACACAAACAGGAGUACAAACAGGUUCUCACAGACACAUACAGGAGUACAAACAGGUUCUCACAGACACACACAGGUGUACAAACAGGUUCUCACAGACACAAACAGGAGUACAAACAGGUUCUCACAGACACAAACAGGAGUACACACAGGUUCUCACAGACACACGCAGGUG